GUGGCGAACGGGUGAGUAACACGUGGGCAAUCUGCCCUGCACUCUGGGACAAGCCCUGGAAACGGGGUCUAAUACCGGAUACUGACCCGCUUGGGCAUCUAGGCGGUUCGAAAGCUCCGGCGGUGCAGGAUGAGCCCGCGGCCUAUCAGCUAGUUGGUGAGGUAAUGGCUCACCAAGGCGACGACGGGUAGCCGGCCUGAGAGGGCGACCGGCCACACUGGGACUGAGACACGGCCCAGACUCCUACGGGAGGCAGCAGUGGGGAAUAUUGCACAAUGGGCGAAAGCCUGAUGCAGCGACGCCGCGUGAGGGAUGACGGCCUUCGGGUUGUAAACCUCUUUCAGCAGGGAAGAAGCGAAAGUGACGGUACCUGCAGAAGAAGCGCCGGCUAACUACGUGCCAGCAGCCGCGGUAAUACGUAGGGCGCGAGCGUUGUCCGGAAUUAUUGGGCGUAAAGAGCUCGUAGGCGGCUUGUCACGUCGGUUGUGAAAGCCCGGGGCUUAACCCCGGGUCUGCAGUCGAUACGGGCAGGCUAGAGUUCGGUAGGGGAGAUCGGAAUUCCUGGUGUAGCGGUGAAAUGCGCAGAUAUCAGGAGGAACACCGGUGGCGAAGGCGGAUCUCUGGGCCGAUACUGACGCUGAGGAGCGAAAGCGUGGGGAGCGAACAGGAUUAGAUACCCUGGUAGUCCACGCCGUAACGGUGGGCACUAGGUGUGGGCGACAUUCCACGUCGUCCGUGCCGCAGCUAACGCAUUAAGUGCCCCGCCUGGGGGAGUACGGCCGCAAGGCUAAAACUCAAAGGAAUUGAC
rnacentral:rRNA from 1 species